AACGCACAUUGCGCCCCUUGGUAUUCCGGGGGGCAUGCCUGUUCGAGCGUCAUUUCAACCCUCAAGCACAGCUUGGUCUUGGGCCCUGCCAGCAACGGCUGGCCUUAAAAACAGUGGCGGCGCCAUCGAGCUCUACGCGUAGUAAUUAUACCCUCGCGUGUGAGUCCCGGUGGAUGCUGGCCAGCAACCCCCAAUUUUCUAUGGUUGACCUCGAAUCAGGUAGGGAUACCCGCUGAACUUAA
rnacentral:misc_RNA from 1 species